rnacentral:rRNA from 1 species
GACGAACGCUGGCGGCGUGCUUAACACAUGCAAGUCGAACGGUGAACCGGGCUUCGGCCCGGGGAUCAGUGGCGAACGGGUGCGUAACACGUGGGCAACCUGCCCCAGACACUGGGAUAACUCCGGGAAACCGGGGCUAAUACCGGAUACUCUCAGCCGACCGCAUGACCGGCUGAGGAAAGCUCCGGCGGUCUGGGAUGGGCCCGCGGCCUAUCAGCUUGUUGGUGGGGUAACGGCCUACCAAGGCGACGACGGGUAGCUGGUCUGAGAGGACGGCCAGCCACACUGGGACUGAGACACGGCCCAGACUCCUACGGGAGGCAGCAGUGGGGAAUCUUGCACAAUGGGCGCAAGCCUGAUGCAGCGACGCCGCGUGGGGAUGAAUGCCUUC